UACAGAGGGUGCAAGCGUUAAUCGGAUUUACUGGGCGUAAAGGGCGCGUAGGUGGUUAAGUAAGUGAGAUGUGAAAUCCCCGGGCUUAACCUGGGAACUGCAUCUUAUACUGUGUAGCUUGAGUGCAGUAGAGGGUAGUGGAAUUUCCGGUGUAGCGGUGAAAUGCGUAGAUAUCGGAAGGAACACCAGUGGCGAAGGCGGCUACCUGGACUGACACUGACACUGAGGCGCGAAAGCGUGGGGAGCAAACGGG
rnacentral:rRNA from 1 species